rnacentral:tRNA from 1 species
CCCGCCAUAGUUCAAAUGGAUAGAACACGCGCCUCCUAAGCGUGAAAUACAGGUUCAAUUCCUGUUGGUGGGGCAA